AUCAUCAGCUAAAGGGCAAACCUUUAAAUAGCUUUUUUAGGCUAUCAUGCAGAACUAAGACUGCAUAAGUGAUGAUGUGUACAUAGAAGCAUUAGGCGCUAUAUAAUGUACUAAUUUAGUUUUUAACUUCUUUACUUGCAUACACAAAGAGUAAAUAAAUUUAGACAAACGUCAGUAAGGAUAGCGCACUUAUUGGCGUUU
ncrna:unclassified sequences FuFi-1 RNA